GGGCAGGCUAUACUACGGUCAUGAAUUAUGGCCCAAUAGAAGGAUCAUCAAGAUGAGUGCAAUCUCAUUCAUGGCCCAUAAACCAGCAGAGGAGAAGCUCUUUAUUUUCUAAUUGAUGCCAGUUCUGAGAUCAAGCCAGAAAACCCACUAUCAUGGAGCAACAUUGAAUGCAUGUGCACGCACAUGUGUGUAUGUGUAUGCAAAACCAGUCAGACACAGUAAUGGAAUUUUACUGGACAGGAAACAAACUUUCCUGGUCUUUUUGCUUUCUGAUUCAUCUGGGAAAUGCAAACCUAAGAGUGCUUCCAGCAAGAUGUGUUAAAUCACAAUACAGAGUUACUAUUAUAACUACAGUUGAUAAUCUGCUGUGCCUGCAAGAACUUUGCCAAGCUGGGAGCACAAAGCAGAACUCUUCACACCAAGACCUGAACUGUCCCCAAAGGACCACACAGAGCUAUGCCCUUGGCUCCUGGAGAACCACAGCAGCUCCAAGUCCUACUGACGACGGAGCAUCUAAUUCUGGUAGAUGGACAUCUCAGUGGCACCAGAUGACUGUGCACUAUUGCCUCGAGGUCAUUGAUAUGUGCAAACCACGGCUGAGACUGACUUUCUUUUCCCCUGGGGAGGGAAGGGUUCCCUCUCCUCUCUGA
rnacentral:lncRNA from 1 species